GGAUGUGAGGGUGGCCUGACUGCAGCAUCUGUCACCCCACUGAUUGCCUGAGUUGAUUCAACUGAUCUGGCUGGCUAAGCAGCUGUCCCCUUCCCCCUCACCAUUCCAUGUGCAACCCUCUUGAAGCUGUCAAAGAGGAUGACCAUUCCCUAUAGAGGAGGACCAAGGACUGUUCCUCCAUCAAGGGUAUGCAGAUAUCUGCACUUCCCUGCUAUAAUCUCCAAACACGGUCUCUAAUAUAAUCUGUAGACUAUGAGUGAUCAAGAUACACCAAUGUUGGUUCAUCUGCUGUAACAAAUAUAGUCGCACC
ensembl:misc_RNA 7SK 7SK RNA